UACAGAGGGUGCGAGCGUUGUCCGGAAUCACUGGGCGUAAAGGGCGCGUAGGUGGCGCGGGCAGUCAACGGUGAAAGUUCGGGGCUCAACCCUGAAUCGGCCGUCGAUACUCCCGGGCUGGAGCACUGUAGAGGCUAAUGGAAUUCCGGGUGUAGCGGUGGAAUGCGUAGAGAUCCGGAAGAACACCGGUGGCGAAGGCGGUUAGCUGGGCAGUUGCUGACACUGAGGCGCGACAGCGUGGGGAGCAAACAGG
rnacentral:rRNA from 1 species